rnacentral:lncRNA from 1 species
GUUUCAUCAGACACGCCGCUCUGGUGUGUAUCAUAUGAUAUGGCAGCCGCUCAGGCAGGCGGGGAGCAGCGCAGCCUGUAAUUUCCUGGUCAUAUGUAACUGGGUGGGGAAGCGCCUGAUCCUUGGGGUGCAAAAUCCACACAUCCUUGGAUCUUCCACUUUCUCAUUUUCUUGGCCACCUUGGUUCUAGGAGCAAGUGUUUUGCUGCUGUUGUCUUCUGUGCAAGAAAGCCUCUUUUUAACAAAGAGAAGCCAUUUCUUAAUGGCUUCUGGGUUAUUAAACAGGAGAGCUGUUACUGCCAUGGGACCAUACAUAGCCCACUGUAUGUGGUUUCUUUAACUUCAUUCACUCCUUAUGGAUCAUCCUCCAGCUCUGGUCCCAUGAGAAGACACCAGGGGCUGACAGAGGUUCUUUUGCAGUGGCACCCCAGUGAAUCACAGCUAAGGAAACAGCCAGGAAUUCUGU